rnacentral:ncRNA from 1 species
GUAGAUAAUUUGUGAAGGCUCCUUGAAACAGUAAUGUUUCAAAGGCAAAUGGGCUUAAUUGCAAGAACAUCUAAUAAAACUCCUCCGAUUUACUAGAUUAUUUGCAGCGAAGUUUGAUUCGGUAUACCUUAUAUUCUUUUUAAUGUAUAUUAUAUAUUAUUAAUAUAAGGGAGUCAAGAACGUUCAACGACUAAUGAGUGAGUAGUACCAACAAUAAGCUCGACACGAAUGCCCUACAACCAAGCAAAUCCUUGUUUGGUUGAAUACAUAGUCUAAACAUCUAGGUAACAGAUGA